rnacentral:rRNA from 1 species
UACGUAGGGGGCGAGCGUUGUCCGGAUUUAUUGGGCGUAAAGAGCGUGUAGGCGGCCAGGUAGGUCCGUUGUGAAAACUCGAGGCUCAACCUCGAGACGUCGAUGGAAACCAUCUGGCUAGAGUCCGGAAGAGGAGAGUGGAAUUCCUGGUGUAGCGGUGAAAUGCGCAGAUAUCAGGAGGAACACCAGUGGCGAAGGCGGUGCUCUGGGCCGGAACUGACGCUGAUGAGCGAAAGCGUGGGGAGCAAACAGG